AGAACCUGAUGUGGUGAACAUCCCAGUCCUGUCCGGACCCUGCCAUGGGCACCAGGCUCCUCUGCUGCGUGGCCCUCUGUCUUCUGGGGGCAGGCCACACAGGAGCUGGCGUUAUCCAGUCCCCCUGGCACAAGGUCACAAAGAGGGGCUGGGAUGUGACCUUCAGGUGUGAUCCAAUUUCUGGUCACACUGGCCUUUAUUGGUACCGACAGGCCAGAGGGCAAGGCCCAGAGUUUUUAAUUUACUUCCGAAACAAGGACAAAGUAGACACAACAGGGAUGCCCAACAAUGAUAGAUUCCAGGCGAACAGGUCGGAGGGGACCUACUCCACUCUGCAGAUCCAGCGAGCAGAGCCGGGGGACUCGGCUGUGUACCUCUGUGCCAGCAGCCCUACCACAGUGGGGCACAGCUGCCGCCUUCCUCUGCACAAACCUCAGACUUCUCUCUCCCUGCUGCAGCCGGAGGCCCUAAACAUGUCCGUGCUCUUCGUUCCCAAUAAAAAGGAGUAG